UUAGCUUUGUUUAGAGGCAUGUUUCUGGCCAAGUGACAAAGUGUAAUAUUCACUCUCCUAAGCUACAUUUUGGAGAAGAAAUUUGAUGUCUGACUUUCUUCACCAGCUAACAGUAGAUAGUAGUAUGUAAAGCUUAAACAUGCAAAAACACUCAGUAAAGCUUCAGCAUUGGGUAAAUAAAUGGAGGACAAAGAGGAACGAGACCCUGGGGCACUCGUAGGGAUUUGAGAAUGGGGACAUACCUCAAGGUUCUGUUCUCUUCAGCAUCCAGAAUAUAUUCAACUGGUUCAACAAUAUUAAAGGACAAAACUCAAAGGACCACCCUUCUCUAUGGCUUUAUUUAUAGGAUUCCCUGUGAACAGAGAAGUGCUUAUUUCCUCUACGAUAGCUCUGUCAGCCUGGAGAUUGUGCUUCUGAAAAAUAUCAACUAGAAUACCAUCAGUGUGGGAUCUUGAGACAGAACUAGUUAAAUGGUGAAGCUCUAGCAAAAAAUCAUUGAUUGAAGUGCUUGGUGUGUGAAUAAAAUGUUCUAACUUCAACAAAGCCGUGUUCAUUUACAUGUGGUAGGUCCUUUGUGAUAUCGAUACUGCAAUCUGGCUGUGCAUCUGGUUGUGCAUCAGAGUAUGCCUCACAGAUUCCCAGGGAAUUUGCGGGGAAUUCUCAGUUCGCAGAUUCCAGAGAAGCAAAGGUUAUUGAUGGCACAUUUUCUGGUUUAAAAUCUGUUAAUGAGUAAGAUAUGUGCGUUCUGCUCUUGUGGGAUUGGAAUGUUCCAUAGAUAUUCAUUUGAAAGUUGCAAUCUAAAAGCAUGCAAGUUACAACCACAUUUUUCUUCAGGUGUGCAUUAAUGUGGGCCCAGUAAUCCAUUUCAGAGACAAGAUCCUUACAAGGACAUAAAUGGCACCUAAAUAUACAGCUCUCUGAUAGAUAACGACUGGUUUUAGUCACAUGAAAUCUAUUCAAAUGAAUUAAAAGCGCAUUCCACGUUCUAAAAGUACAUGGGUAGC